AUGUGGCGCACAACGAGUUUCCUAGGCCGAUAGGAUUAUUGUCUCCUAGCCCGUAUCUCCAGGAUCCAGGCCAUAUCCCUGCUCCCAGUGGUUUCCAUCACGUGUCCUUGCUUAUUUGUGUUGUGGUGAUUGUGUCUCAGCCUAGGAGACACUGGGCAAUCUGAGAGAGCGCUACGUGACUGGGCUAGACUUUUGUAAUUGUUGGUCUUGAACGAGGAAUGCCUAGUAAUCGUAGGUCAUUAUCCUGCGAUGAUUAUGUCCCUGCCCUUUGUACACACCGCCCGUCGCUCCUGCCGUGGCUCGUGCCGGUGAAGAGGGGGAGGCAGCGUCAACGGAGUAACAUCUGAUUGUACGUGGAACCCCUCUGAACCUUCGCGAGUAGAGGAAGGAGAAGUCGUAACAAGGUUUUCGUAGGUGAACCUGCGAAAGGAUCAUUAU
rnacentral:rRNA from 2 species